rnacentral:rRNA from 1 species
AUUGAACGCUGGCGGCAGGCCUAACACAUGCAAGUCGAGCGGCAGCACGGGACUUGCUCCUGUCUGCGUCGGCGGAGGGGUGAGUGAUGCCAAUGAAUCUGCCUGUUCGUGUUUGAUAGGGUUCACCAACGGGCACUAAUACUGCAUCCGCCCACAGGCAGCAGGUGGGGGAUCUUCGUCUCUCACGCUUUCACAUGAGGCUAGGUCGGAUUAGCUAGUUGGUGGGGUAAAGGCCUACCAAGGCGACGAUCCGUAACUGGUCUGAGAGGAUGAUCAGCCACACUGGAACUGAGACACGGUCCAGACUCCUACGGGAGGCAGCAGUGGGGAAUAUUGGACAAUGGGCGAAAGCCUGAUCCAGCCAUGCCGCGUGUGUGAAGAAGGUCUUCGGGUUGUAAAGCACUUUUGGUGGGAAAGAAAAGCAGUAAGUUAAUACCUUGCUGUUUUGACGGUACCAAAAGAAUAAGCACCGGCUAACUUCGUG